rnacentral:lncRNA from 1 species
CGUUCGCAACAAAUUUAUAUGUUGAUGGCCAUUGGGAAACAAUGUGUAGAUAGGUAUGAUAUAUCUAUUUGUCUUAUUUUAGUUUUUCCUUUAAAUAAAUAAUACAUUAUUACAGAAACAAGACUAGUAAAUGGCACAGGACCGUAGGACGUUCGCAACAAAUUUGUAUGUUGAUGGCCAUUGGGAAACAAUAUGUAGAUAGGUAUGGUGCACAGAUUGUCCUCUAUCAUAUUGUAUCAAGAAUUCAAAAUCCAUCAAAAACUGUAAUAACACAACUAUGGUAUGUCUUAAUUGCAAAGUUAUGGCAACUGUUUGAUUUAGAAGCUGGACAGCUCUUGUUUUAAGGCAGAGAUAUUUUGUACUUUUCAGAUAAGAAAAGAAAAUUUGCAGAAAUUUCCACCACUCUAGAAUUUGGGAAGUCUGGCGGACUAAGAAAGAACAUGUAAGGUGCCUGCAAGUUCCCCCAUGAGUGCAGCUGUACAGGCAGACAGGAACUAUCAAGAAGGGUGGUGUGAUAACUUAAACAAAAGCUAAACUUGCAGAAAAUACAUAUAUCUACUUGUCUUAUUUUAGUUUUUCCUUUAAAUAAUAUAUUAUUACAGAAACAAGACUAGUAAAUGGAUCAGGACCGUAGGAUGUUCGCAACAAAUUUAUAUGUUGAUGCCCAUUGGGAAACAAUAUGUAGAUAGGUAUGAUGCACAGAUUGUCCUCUAUCAUAUUGUAUAAAGAAAUAAAAAGCCAUCAAAAUAUAUUAUUACAGAAACAAGACUAGUAAACGGAUCAGGACCGUAGGACGUUCGCAACAAAUUUAUAUGUUGAUGGCCAUUGGGAAACAAUAUGUAGAUAGGUAUGGUGCACAGAUUGUCCUCUAUCAUAUUGUAUAAAGAAAUAAAAA